rnacentral:misc_RNA from 1 species
GAUGAAGAACGCAGCGAAGUGCGAUAAGUAAUGUGAAUUGCAGAAUUCCGUGAAUCAUCGAAUCUUUGAACGCAAAUUGCACUCUCUGGUAUCCCGGGGAGUAUGCCUGUUUGAGGGUCAGUGUUAAUAAAAAUCGGUGCGUUGCACUUUAUUGUGACGUUCUGGAGUUUGAGUUAUCUUAACUUUUAGGUUAAGAGGCUUAAAAUUGACCUUUUUUUGUGCAUUUUAGACGUACAUAAAUUUUCUUUUAUUUGUCUUUUAAUGCCAAAAUUAUAUUAGAUGCGACCAUAUCGUGUGGUUUCGUGUCUAUAAAUUUUUCAUGAUUUGACCUCCAAUCAGGUAGGAGUACCCGCUGAACUUAAGCAUAUCAAUAAGCGGAGGA